AAGUCAGAUGUGAAAGACCCGGGGCGUCAACCUCGGAAUUGCAUUUGUAAACUAGGCAAACUAGAGUACUGUAGAGGGGGGUAGGAAUUUCUAGGUGUAGCGGUGAAAUAGCGUAGAGAUCUGAAGGAAUACCGGUGGCGAAGGCGGCCCCCCUCGGACAGAUACUGACACUCAGAUGCGAAAGCGUGGGGAGCAAACAGGAUUAGAUACCCCUGGUAG
rnacentral:rRNA from 1 species